CACUUAAUUUCUUUGCCGUUUCACUUCGGAGUCAAAACGAAAAUUUUCGAGGGCGUUACCAAUAACCCAUUCAGGGAAUUAAAACCCAACAUUAUUGCCUUAAAUCGCCGAACUGAUCCGGAAACAUUCUUGCACAAACAGCCAUUAAUGGCCGCACUAAGGUCGUCGUGGAUCUCUUCGUAUGGACUCCCCACGCACCUAUAAAUACCAUCUCUGGAUACACCCCACUCCCCUACAUCAUCACGCUCAAAAUCCCUCUCGAGUUCGAUCUCUCCUAUGAGCAAUUGCUCGCCGGAGUUCGACAAUAGCAUCAAAGUCCGACGAGGAUUCUGUCGCGACCGAGAAGGAGCAGCAGAACCGCGAGGACCGAGGCUCACCGCCGCCGUGCAAAACUUCAGCCACUUCUGUCCAGUGAAGUAGAAAGCUCCUGAGAUCCUUACGGAGUCCAUAGAAUUCACCUUCACCAUAUCUCCACCGUUCUCUACUCCAUCGACUCCGGUUCAUCGAAUACGCUCCGCUCCGCCCAACUCCGGCGAACCGUCACGAUCAUCCGGAGUGUGAAGCUUGCUACCACGAAUCUUUACAGUUCAACGAACGUCAGCAAGGCAAGUUCACACUUUGAUCAUAAUUUUUAAUACCCAGUUUUUACUAUGCAUUAGUUUAACCCUUAAAGAUUGCAUGAGUAGGAUUGGGAA